GAGAUUUAAACUUAGCAUGAAAAUAAAGCACACUUAUCGACACACUCUUUUUAUUUUGUUUUCAUGUUUAUAGAAUGCAGUAAAUUAAAGCAAGAAAAUAUUUAUUGGGUUUUCUAAGUUUUUUCUCCUUAAGAUAAAUAAAACACUAAAAUAAAAAAGAAUAAAUAAGAAGAGAAAAUAAAAACUUACCUGAUAAAACAGGGAGUAACUCCCCCAAGCUGGAUGUGGUUGUCGGUCUUACCCAAUGUUCCAGAAUCGCAUC
rnacentral:lncRNA from 1 species